AAGUGCAGAAUUGGAAAAAUUAUGGGAAUCCUUCAUGGCAUGUGGUCUUCUAUCCAGGUGGCUUCAGGCCAGGAGUGGGGCUGCUUAUUGCGGUAUUCUAGGAGGUAAGAAGAGGAAAGUCGCUACGACUGCAGUAAAUACAGAAGACAAAGGCCUGAACAUCUGGCAGCAUCUGGGUCCCAGAUACCCUGAAGAUUUCAUAAAGAGGAGUGCUUGUUGUUGAUAAGAGUCAAGCUGGGUCAGCCUUGCAGAUGACCAGUCACCCUCUGCAAGUUGUCUCUUUGGCUGCAAAUGGCUCAAGACCAUGCUGAAACUUAUACCUGUUCUGCUUUUGGAAGCUGCUUGCUUGCUGACCGUAAAAAGUGUUGAUGGCCUGUUUCUGUUAGGAAAUGUCCAAGACCCUGUAGUAUAGAGAGAAACUGCUUCAUCAUUAGUACUGACCUUGUGCAUAAGUCAAGAACCUAAACUCCCUGUAUGGUAUUAAUCCCUACCAACUGUACUGGGUGUCUGAAACUGCAUUAUUGGGAAGUUCCUUUGGUUACUUUGCCCUCUUGGAGAAGCUAAGAAUUAUAGUUAAGAACAUGGAGUCAGAUUGACCGGAUAUAAAUUCUGGAUACAUCACCUACUAGCUGUGUUUCCCUAGGAAAAUAACCUAAUCUCUCUGUGCUGUGGUUUCUACUUCUGUAAAGUGGGGAUAAUUAUAGCAUCAACAACCUCAUGGGCUGUUUGAGGAACAAAUAGCUGAAUAAUCUACAAAAUGAGAAGAACAGCUAUUGGACACAUAAUUCACAUAAUUAUCAUUCACAAUAUUACUUAUUCUUACCAGAGAGAAGAAGAUCCUAAAAAUUUCCAGAGAGAAACAACAUUUACACAAAGCAUUGAGAAUAAGAAAAUGACAGUGACAUAUCAACAGUAACACUGGAAACCAGGAGUAAAAGCAACAAUGCCCACAAAAUUAACUUCUACUUAGAAUGACAUGCCCUGACAAAUCAAGCAUGAGGACAUAAUAAACAUAUUUACGUAAA